GUGCACAGAGAACACCCCAGGAUGCUAACGUAGCUCCCCUUGGUCUCUUGUAUCUGUGCUAAAGUAAAUCUGAUCUGUACCUCUGCAUUAGGAGAGUCACUUCCUCCCCUACAUGUAUUCAGCGGAUCAGAAUAAAU
rnacentral:snoRNA from 1 species